rnacentral:lncRNA from 1 species
GUUGCUUUAGGAUUAGAUUCCAAUUAUAUAUUAUUGGCAGGAGCAUCAUAGAAGUGAUGCUGUGUUCUUCUUGCUAGACUAUCAGGAGGCACACGAUUGCAAUUUGUCCUAUUACUGAUGAUGUUCAUUUUGGUUACUUGAUUAAGGUGGCACCUGCCAGAUUUUUCCACUGUGAAGUGACUUCCUUCUGUAACUGAUGAAUAUUUUGUGAAGAGCUGCUUCGAAAUUACGUAAAUACUUUUGCAAAACAGUUGCAGGUGUG